AGGACGAACGCUGGCGGUGUGCUUCACACAUGCAAGUCGAACGGGGUAGCAAUACCCAGUGGCGGACGGGUGAGUAACGCGUGGGAAUCUGCCUAAAAAUGGGGGAUAGCUGGCCGAAAGGCUAAUUAAUACCGCAUAGGCCUAUAAUUCGACAGUUUUAUAGGUUAAAGGAGUAAUCCGUUUUUAGAUGAGCCCGCGUCCGAUUAGCUAGUUGGUAGGGUAAAGGCCUACCAAGGCUUCGAUCGGUAGGUGGCCCGAGAGGGCGAUCACCCACAAUGGAACUGAGACACGGUCCAUACUCCUACGGGAGGCAGCAGUGGGGAAUUUUACGCAAUGGGCGAAAGCCUGACGUAGCGACACCGCGUGAACGAAGAAGCCUUUUGGGGUGUAAAGUUCUGUCGGCUGGGAAGAAAAAAUGACGGUACCAGCAAAGGAAGCAUCGGCUAACUACGUGCCAGCAGCCGC
rnacentral:rRNA from 1 species